rnacentral:rRNA from 1 species
UACGGAGGAGGCAAGCGUUAUCCGGAAUGAUUGGGCGUAAAGCGUCCGCAGGUGGCAGUUCAAGUCUGCUGUCAAAGACCGGGGCUUAACUUCGGAAAGGCAGUGGAAACUGAACAGCUAGAGUAUGGUAGGGGCAGAGGGAAUUCCUGGUGUAGCGGUGAAAUGCGUAGAGAUCAGGAAGAACAUCGGUGGCGAAGGCGCUCUGCUGGACCAUAACUGACACUCAGGGACGAAAGCUAGGGGAGCGAACUGG